GACAGAGGGGCAAGCGUUGCUCGGAAUCACUGGGCGUAAAGGGCGCGUAGGCGGGAUGGCAAGUCGGUCGUGAAAUCCUUCGGCUCAACCGAAGAACGUCGGCCGAUACUGCCGUUCUUGAGGGAUGCAGAGGAGAUUGGAAUUCCCGGUGUAGCGGUGAAAUGUGUAGAGAUCGGGAGGAACACCGGUGGCGAAGGCGGCUCACUGGACCGGUACUGACGCUGAUGCGCGAAAGCGUGGGGAGCAAACGGG
rnacentral:rRNA from 1 species